rnacentral:rRNA from 1 species
GACGUAGGGCGCGAGCGUUGUCCGGAUUUAUUGGGCGUAAAGGGCGCGUAGGCGGCCAGAUUAGUCAGGCGUGAAAGCCCUGGGCUCAACCUGGGGACUGCGCUUGAGACGGUAUGGCUUGAGGGUGGAAGAGGCUCGCGGAAUUCCCAGUGUAGAGGUGAAAUUCGUAGAUAUUGGGAAGAACACCGGUGGCGAAGGCGGCGAGCUGGUCCAUCACUGACGCUGAGGCGCGACAGCGUGGGGAGCAAACAGG